rnacentral:rRNA from 1 species
UACGUAGGGGGCAAGCGUUGUCCGGAUUUAUUGGGCGUAAAGAGCGUGUAGGCGGUUCGGUAGGUCCGUUGUGAAAACUCGAGCUCAACCUCGAGACGCCGAUGGAAACCCUCGAACUAGAGUCCGGAAGAGGAGAAUGGAAUUCCGUGGUGUAGCGGUGAAAUGCGCAGAUAUCAGGAAGAACACCCGUGGCUAAGGCGGUUCUCUAGUACGGUACUGACGCUGAGACGCGAAAGCGUGGGGAGCGAACAG